CAGCCUGGGCAACAAGAGCAAAACUCUGUCUCAAAAACAAACAAAUAAGCAAACAACAACAACAACAAAAAGCCAGGAGGCCAGGGUAAUAAGAUAUCAAGAUGUGAAUGAGCUGGCUGCAUGAAUUGAGGCAGAGAGAAAGGAAUAUGGAAACAGAGGAAUAUGCAACUCUGUCCUCUAGCUUUGGGACACAUAUGCGAUUGCUCAUUCUCCAGGAUGGAGAUCUUGGGAAAUGGAUACUCAGACCCUAAGACACCCAAGAGGCUAUAAGAAGAGUCUCUGAGGCACUUAAGAAGGAAUGAAUGUGCAUGACGCAGCCCAUCUUUACCCAGCAGUGCAAGAAUGUUGGGGUAGCUCAGCAAGAAAUCAUCAAAAUGCUCUCCUUCACAGAAAGACAAAUUAGUGAUCUCAAGGACAGCUAUGGGCAAAAACCAAGAGAAGACAUGUUUUCUUGGCUAUCUCAGGUAGUUGAUGAGGAGUGGCAGAACAUUCUGCUGUCAUGAAAAGAAUGGCACAGCCUGGGUAGAUUGGCUCACAACCCAGUGUUGCAGCAGAUGUUCAGGGUGAUCCAACGAGCCAUGGCUAUAGAUCACCAUGCCCACAACCUGGAAUCUUUUCUUAUUUGGUUGGUGUCUAGCAUUCUAGGCUCUUUUCCCAUCCAGGGUGGUUUGCCUAACCUUCCAUUGUGCCCUUGGCAGUCAGGACAUGAGGCUGUCACAGCCUUGUGCAGGGUGGCCCCAGGCUGAUGGCUAUCCAACCUCCAGAAGGGAGAAUUGGAUGAUACAAUAUUAUCUAGUUGCAAUAUUGAUGAUUUAAUAGACCAGAGCCCUUGGCCCUGGCAUAACCAAUUGAUUUUACUUCUUCCCCUUAGAAUAGCCUUUGGCAAGGCCAUUGAAAAACUUUAUCAUACUUUGCUAGCCUGGCAGCAGAAUGGGGAUCAAAUUUGACAAAUUUAAUCUGACAAUUAAAUACAAAAGGCUAACUUGGGAGGAGGCAAUCCAAGGGCUGGUAGUGGGGCUGCCUCCAAGGGCCCCUACUCCACAGACUUAUUUAGGUUCCUAAAUAAGAGGUUGAUGGCCUCCCCACAUUUGAUACAUGCUACUGGAACCAAUCAGAGGGAGGCCCUUGCAGUUUACAGAAUCAACAGGUGCCAGUCAUGCAGGAGGACUAGCUUGUUAUGAAUCUUAGGCUUCUGUUGUCUCUUGCUGCCUAUCUGUAAGUAAUAAACUGCUUUAUAUAA